UUGAUACCAAAUGACAAAAUGAAAAUUUCUUUUCUUUUCUUUUUUUUUGUGGGUUCUGUUUUCUAGGACACAGUUGUAGAAAGAGAAUGCUGUAAGGUCAACUGCAAAGUUUGGGGAGAUGAUGGUAACUCAGGAGAACAAGGGAACCGCGGGAGGAAGGGAGUGACAGGUCUUCAUGGGAUGCCUGGCUAUCCUGGUGAUGAAGGUGGACCUGGAGAAAGGGGCGUUACUGGCUUGCCGGGACCUCGCGGCAAUGGAGGGUGCCCAGGUGAAAGAGGGCUUAAGGUGAGCAUUGACCAGGAGAAGGCGGGAUGAGUCACUGUCCUUGUCUUGUUUUGCCCUCAUUUCCACAGUUCGGUGUGGUUCUUAACCCUUGAAAGGAUUCAGGACAUGACUCUUUAGUGCUGGCUCUUGGUCUGCUAAAAUCCUAUCUUAUAGCUCUUCAGGGGUGUCUACACUAACUCAAACCAGGCAGUCAGUGUCACUGUGG
rnacentral:lncRNA from 1 species